rnacentral:rRNA from 1 species
UCAGUCGUAAACUUUAAUCUAGUCCACUCUCGCCUGGGAACUACGAGCUAAGCUUAAAACCCAAAGGACUUGACGGUACCCCAUAUCCCCCUAGAGGAGCCUGUCCUAUAACCGAUAAUCCCCCGUUUAACCUCACCAUUUCUAGCUAAAACAGCCUGUAUACCUCCGUCGUCAGCUCACCGCGUGAGCGUUAGUGAGCCUAAUGUUAAUUCAACUACACGUCAGGUCAAGGUGCAACAUAUGGUAAUGGGAAGAGAUGGGCUACACUCUCUAACUUAGAAUAUACGAAAGACUACUUAUGAAAUCUAG